GACGAACGCUGGCGGCGUGCUUAACACAUGCAAGUCGAGCGGUAAGGCCCUUUCGGGGGUACACGAGCGGCGAACGGGUGAGUAACACGUGGGUGACCUGCCCUUAGCUCUGGGAUAAGCCUGGGAAACUGGGUCUAAUACCGGAUAUGACUCCAUGACGCAUGUUGUGGGGUGGAAAGCCUUGUGCGGCUAGGGAUGGGCCCGCGGCCUAUCAGCUUGUUGGUGGGGUGAUGGCCACCAAGGCGACGACGGGUAGCCGGCCUGAGAGGGCGACCGGCCACACUGGGACUGAGACACGGCCCAGACUCCUACGGGAGGCAGCAGUGGGGAAUCUUGCGCAAUGGGCGAAAGCCUGACGCAGCGACGCCGCGUAAGGGAUGACGGCCU
rnacentral:rRNA from 1 species